UGGCUACAUCAUGGGGAAACACUGGUUCCUGUAUGAUCACUGAAGUUAAGCAACAUUGAGACUGGUCAGUGUUUAAAUGGGUGACCACUUGGGAAUGCAAGGCGCUGUAAG